rnacentral:misc_RNA from 1 species
GAAAUGCGAUACGUAGUGUGAAUUGCAGAAUUCCGUGAACCAUCGAAUCUUUGAACGCAAAUUGCGCCCAAGGCUUCGGCCGAGGGCAUGUCUGCCUCAGCGUCGGCUCACCCCCUCGCUCUCCCUCCCCCUGUGGGAGCGUGAGAUCGGACCUGGCCCUCCCGGCUCCUCUCCGACUUGUUUCGGCGAGCCCGGGUCGGCUGAAGUGUAGAGGCUUGAGCAUGGACCCCGUUUGUAGGGCAAUGGCUUGGUAGGUAGCUCUGCUACACCGCCUGCCGUCGUCCGAGGGGACUUUGCUGGCGGCCCCGCAGGAAUUCGGUUCGGCUUUCGUCGACCGAAUGCUUCACACCUUCGACCUGAGCUCAGGCAAGACUACCCGCUGAACUUAA